AAAAGCUAAAUGACUAGCUUUUAA
rnacentral:tRNA from 1 species